GAGGUGUGCUCUUCCGUUCUGCUUUUUAUGCCUCUUUUAUUGGAGGUCCGCUCUGCUUUGGAUGAUGAUUAAUUGUGUUUGUCUUGACGCCUCAUUUGUCACCCAACUCCUGAUCAUGGGAGACGAAUCUUACUCCUCUUCGUACCCAGAGCUGUGUCUUGUGUAAAGUGCGUGCUCAGUAGACAGGGGAUGGACCUAUGACUGAAUGAGCACAGGCUCUUUUCUGCUAUUUCCAACAGAUGCCUUCCCCCAAUUUCUAAUCGGAAGAGUUGCAGACCGCUGGACAGGCUCAGGGACAGACGGGAUAAGAGACUGUCCACAGAGACUAAGCAGACCCAAAGCACUGAGCAGUGGUCAUCAUGAAAUGCAACCCACCGGAUAAACCUGCCCUUAGCCCCGCGAUGCCCCAAAUACUGCUCUUAAGCUUCUCUCUGGGACCUGAGAACUUUAUCAGUGAAGCAUUCACCUUUUUUAACCAUUUCACAAACUCACAGAAAUUAAUUCCCCCAAAGAAUUCCCCUCUUCCAGUCAUACACUGAAUAGCAUAGAUUUGCCUUGUUACCCAAUUUCAUUCCCGAAGCCCCCAAAGGUGGGUCAUUAAGAGAAAACUUUAAAAUCAAGGAUGGCAUAGAUAUAAUUUUAGAAUAAAAAAUACAAUUAAAGAAAGAAGGCCCAUCAUUCAGUUCCAUUUAGCACGUGUUUAUUAUGCUCCAAGUGUUUGCAAAGCCUUGUCCUGGGCUCUGAGGAUGGUCUAUAGGUUAAGUAGGACAUUGAUCUCAUUCAUAAGCUCUCACUAUAGCGGCUCUGACCCUGUAACAGGAGAGGGAGAAGUGCAGUGGGGGAGAGGGUGGAGAGGGAGGUCCCUGCAUGGUACUGCAGGACUCUGGCUGGGACUGGAUAGACGUGAGAAAUGAAUGGAAGGCUGCUGGUAGUCCUGCUCAAUUGUGUUAGUGGUGGCCAUUGAUACUUUCGGUCCGUAACCAGGAAAUGUAACAUGUGGGUGUCAAAGGGUUCAGAGCACAAGUUCCAACAUUUGUCUGGGCAGUGGGUCCCCCCACAUCACCAAGCAGUUCUCUGUGACACCAGCAGGGUGGCCUAUGAUUCAACUCAAUUCUGACACUGAUAUCUGGAGAUAGCAUCGGACCACACAGGUUAAGGGUUUGGUUUCACAAGACUGCACUUCCCCCACUCCUCCACUGUCCUUCCACCUCGUUUUGAGGCCAGUCACAAGUCCCGAUGGUCACCUGUGCUUCUGACCAACCGCCUAUAGAUGGGAGGGUCUGACAACUCCCUCCUUGGGUUCCAUUAAUUUGCUAGAGAGGCUCACAGAACUCAGAGAAACAUCUUACUUACUGGAUUAUUGGUUUAUUAUGAAAAGAUAUCACUCAGAAACAGACAGAUGGAAGAGAUGCACAGGGCAAGAUAUGGGAAAAGGGUGCAGAAUAUCCAUGCCAUCGGAGUGCACCACUCUCCUCAAAUCUCUCCAGCUGUCCACAACCUGUAAGCUCUCCAAAUUCCGUCCUUUUGAGUUUGUAUGAAGGCUUCAUUAUAUAGGCAUGAUGGAUUAAAUCACUGGCCAUUAGUGAUUGAUUCAACCUUCAGCCCCACUCCUCCCCCCAGAGGUCAGGGUGUGGGACUGAAUAUUCCAACCCUCAAAUCACAAGGAUGGUUCUCCUGGCAACCACUGCCUCAUCCUUAGGUGUGGCCCAAAAGGUGCCUCAUUAACAUAACAAAAGACACCCUUAUGGCUCUCACCUUAGGAACUUCCAAGGAUUUUAGGAACUCUGUGCCAGAAAGGAAAUGAAGACCAAAUAUGUAUUUCUUAUUAUAAAUCAUGAUAUCACAGGGCGGGAUUCCAAUAGAAUAGAAAGGCUUUAAGAGAAAACAAACCCAAAACCGAAGUUCUAAGGCAAUCUUGGAGAGAAGAUGUGAUAUGA